GGAUCUGAGGGCGAUCUGGUUGCGACAUCUGUCACCCCACUGAUCGCCAGGGUUGAUUCGGCUGAUCUGGCUGGCUAGGCGGGUGUCCCCUUCCUCCCUCACCGCUCCAUGUGCGUCCCUCCUGAAGUUGCGUGCUCGGUUGAAGAGGACGACCACCCCAGAUAGAGGAGGACCGGUCUUCGGUCAAGGGUAUACGAGUAGCUGCGCUCCCCUGCUAGAACCUCCAAACAAGCUCUCAA
rnacentral:lncRNA from 1 species